CGCAGCCGCGGUAAUUCCAGCUCCAAUAGCGUAUAUUAAAGUUGUUGCAGUUAAAAAGCUCGUAGUUGAAUUUCGAGAUCAAUUUGUUGGUCGUGCCUCGGUACGUACUGGCAAUUUUGGUUUCUCCCUUCUGAAGAACCAUGAUGUCAUUAAUUUGGUGUCAUGGGGAAUCAGGACUGUUACUUUGAAAAAUUGAGUGUUUAAAGCAGGCUCGCGCUUGAAUACAUUAGCAUGGAAUAAUGAAAUAGGACGUUUGAUUCUAUUUUGUUGGUUUCUAGGAUCGACGUAAUGAUUAAUAGGGAUAGUUGGGGGCAUUAGUAUUCAAUUGUCAGAGGUGAAAUUCUUGGAUUUAUUGAAGACUAACUACUGACGAAAGCAUUUGCCAGGGAUGUUUUCAUUAAUCAAGAACGAAAGUUAGGGGAUCGAAGACGAUCAGAUACCGUGUAGUCUUAACCAUAAAC
rnacentral:misc_RNA from 1 species